AUGCCAUCUCUUCCAUAUGCAACAUUCUCCUUACUUUUUCUGAUUUGUUUAUCUCCUUUUCCGAUGGAUUGUCCUUUCCAAUCUAAUGUUGUAUUUGGGAAACCCAAAACAUCACUUCUACCAUCAACCCCCACCGUCUCCCUGCUCUGCUAUCUUCUCGUCACUUUCCACAAAGACCUCUCUUCCUCUUUCUAA